rnacentral:rRNA from 1 species
GCACAACGCGAAGAACCUUACCUACUCUUGACAUCCAGAGAACUUAGCAGAGAUGCUUUGGUGCCUUCGGGAACUCUGAGACAGGUGCUGCAUGGCUGUCGUCAGCUCGUGUUGUGAAAUGUUGGGUUAAGUCCCGCAACGAGCGCAACCCUUAUCCUUUGUUGCCAGCGGUUCGGCCGGGAACUCAAAGGAGACUGCCAGUGAUAAACUGGAGGAAGGUGGGGAUGACGUCAAGUCAUCAUGGCCCUUACGAGUAGGGCUACACACGUGCUACAAUGGCGUAUACAAAGAGAAGCGACCUCGCGAGAGCAAGCGGACCUCAUAAAGUACGUCGUAGUCCGGAUUGGAGUCUGCAACUCGACUCCAUGAAGUCGGAAUCGCUAGUAAUCGUAGAUCAGAAUGCUACGGUGAAUACGUUCCCGGGUCUUGUACACACCG